AUGAAGUCAGGUUCUUCUAUGGCUCCAGUACAUGGGUAUGGGUGCGAGGUGAGCAGGAGUAUACACGCAUUAAGCCUUGCCAAGGAACCCCUUUGGAAGGUGACGAUCGACCGUCAGACAGUCGUGAAGCAGCAGCAGCAGCAGCUAGCGCAGCAUAUGACACCUCUGCACUAUUGUAGGCAAUCACGGACAUGGACCUUUUCGAAAAAAAAUCACGGACAUGGAAGGUUCACUAGAAUCAAGUCAUGUGAGGAACUAAGCUUCCACUCACCUAUUUCUUCUUGCAAAUUCAGAAAUGGGAGUUUGGGUUAUCCUAUUUCCUUAUUCUAUAAUCCUUAA
rnacentral:rRNA from 1 species